rnacentral:lncRNA from 1 species
AAAAAACCUUUGAUAAGAAGUUAAUGCAGCCUGGGCAACAUGUUUCCUGGUUGAAGGAUUAAUUAUCUGCUACCUGAUCUAAAGUUGAUAAAUGAAAAACAUCAGUAUUAACACAUGACAUGGAAAAAACACCAGAGGAGAAAAAACCACCAAAGGAAGAAAAACAAAAACUGUGAACAGUGAUGUCUCACCGGGGGUGGGAGCACAGCAGCAGACAUUUGUCAAAACUCACCCAACUCUAUAAUUUAAAUGUGUACAUUUUAUGGUAUAUAAAUGAUUCCUCAAUAAAGUUGAUUAAUCCAAA